GCCUUCCCAAAUUCAACAUGUGAGGUCUUACAUAUCUUUCAACCUACAGAAAAAGGAUACUCCAGCAAAGCAUGUGAGCUCUCUUGUAAGCAAAUGGGCAAAAGGCUGGCUGCUGAGGGUUCUUGAUCUUGAGGGAGUGUACAAGCCUAGUUUGCCUGAUAAUCUAGGCGACUUGUUUCAUUUGAGGUACUUGGGAUUGAGGUGGACUUUCUUGGACAAGCUUCCCAAAUCUGUAGGUCAACUCCCUCAUCUCCAAACAUUAGACCUGAAGCAUACAUGCAUAGACAAAAUCCCAACCACUGUUUGGAAACUGAAAAAUCUCCAGCAUCUCAAUCUUGAUGAAGUUCAUCUAGACAAGGAUACGCCUCUGCACUUCCCCGACCUCCUCACACUCUGGGGAUUAUCAGUCAGCCAUGAGGCCCCAAUCACAGAUGGUUUGAGCAAAUUGAAACACCUAAGAGAAUUAGGCAUUUCUUUACGCUUCAUCAAGCGCAGCGACGAUAUUGUCCAAGACAAAGGUCAAGCUACAGAAGCUUUGGUGAAGUGGAUUUCCGAGCUAACAGAUCUUCGAUCAUUGAGGUUGCGAUCCAAAGAUGAUUCUGGGAACCCUUCAAGUCUUAGUUUAAAGCCGUUUUCACGCUUGGGAAAACUCUCUCAUAUGAAGUUACUCGGGAAGUUGCAACAACUCCCUCGCGCGGAUCACUUCCCACCUCAUAUUAAAGUUCUCACAUUAUCAUUGUCUUUUCUGUCCGAAGAUCCCAUGCCGAUCCUUGGACAGCUCCCGGAUUUUAACAGUUUUGAGGCUGCUUGCUAACUCAUACCUUGGAGAGAAAAUGCUCUGCUCAGCUGACACUUUUAAGAAUCUUGAGGUUCUAAAACUCUGGGUGCUCGAAGAUCUCAAGGAAUGGGAAGUCGAAGACGGCGCAAUGAAGAAACUCAAAGAGGUCAACAUCAGAAGGUGUUCCAAACUGGAAAACUUCCCAAGCAGCUUGUUGAAGCAGGAAACUUUCCGAGAUUUGAUCUUAAACAACAUGCCCCCUGCAUUCAAGGAAAAAAUUGACAACAAUUAUCAGUUCAAGGUCUCCACCAAAGAUUUCCAACGACAUCUCAGAGCUCAAGAUUAGGAUGAUUGUCGACAACACUACCAGCCCAACCAAGGAAAACGAAGACCCACGUUGCACCAAGCCCACUCGAGUAACCAAACUUCCCACCAAGCUCAAGGAUUACACUUUAUGAUGAAAAAUAUCUAUUGGUCCCCCUCCUCCCUCUGAAAGUUGUUGUUAUGGCAGGCUAGCUGUCUUUUGUUUUUAGCUUAACCAAAGGCCUGUGUGCCAUUAAUAUGUCUUUCUACUCUAGUUUGCUUUCUCAAUCAAUGNACACUUUAUGAUGAAAAAUAUCUAUUGGUCCCCUCCUCCCUCUGAAAGUUGUUGUUAUGGCAGGCUAGCUGUCUUUUGUUUUUAGCUUAACCAAAGGCCUGUGUGCCAUUAAUAUGUCUCUACUCUAGUUUGCUUUCUCAAUCAAUGAAAAACUGAGUUGUUGUUCUGAAUUUCUCUGUGCUUUCUUUCUUUUGGGAGUCAGAGUUCACUCGAAGAACUCAUAUUUGAUUAAGAGUGUAUCAGAUUGUUUGAAGGAUGUAAUGUUAUUGAUUUAAUGAGUGUUUUAAAAAUCAUAUUGUUUGAAUGAAUUUUUUUCCACAAGAUAAAUGUAAUGAGUUCUACACAUAGUGAUUCCUUUUUAGUUUCUAUAAACUGAACUAAAAAACACAGUCCUAAAUUCAAGUUAGAGAAACAGUUAUUUUGUAUUCAGAAUUCAACUUUCAUCUAAUUUAUUGUGCACCACAUCAUAUGUGUGUGUGUAAGGUAAGGAUCAUAAGAUAUUGAACAGAGAAGAGGAUAUGGCUGUCGCUAAUAAACUCUAAUUCGCUGAUUGCUAUAAGAUAUAAGCCAUAUAACACCCACUGAACAAACAACUUUUCAGACUAACAAACUAAGACGCUUCCAUUAACAAAGGAGAGGUCUAAGAUUUCACAAAAUGCUCUCUUGUCCGCAAUCAAUCAAACAAACGAAAAUUAGAAGACUGUAAGAAAUGCACCAUACAUUACAGACAGCUACAUUAAAUGAUUCUAUCAAACAGCUGGUGUGUGCAAUGUUUGUAUAUUUAGUUUUUCACAUAUGUUAUGCAACUAGAAGUUCAUGUUUAUUUUAAUGGAAUUACCUCUCAGUUGACAAAUAAUUAACACAACAUAAAAUGAAUAUGUUUUAAAUCUCAAGUCUUUGGAUCAAUCGACAUGCAUUUUAUCUUAAAAGUUCAUGUUUAUUAGGCAAACGCAACCUAAUGAAAUAGCUGGCAAAUUUGACAUACAUGUCUUUUCACCUUUGUCUCGAUCAGUUCAUCUUUUUUUUUUCAUUCACUUUUUAUUUAUCCGUGGAGAUAGGCAGAAUAUGUCAAAAUCUCUUAUAGAGAGGUGAGAUUUUUUGAUAGGUUUCAUAUUUAUAUUUGUAUAAUAAAAUCCUACAAAUUUUCAAUAUCACUAAAUUUUGAUGGAUAUUUAAGAGUCAUAAUUGAAUACCAACAAAUUUUUAAGGACUUUCUAAAAUCUAAAUUGAAUACCUAUAAACUUUUGAAAUACAAAAAAAAUCUUUUAAAUUCUGAAUUGAAUACACCCCUAAAUGCGAGCUGUACUCACGAUCACAAAUGACCUCGACAUAAAUACGUAGUAUAUCAAAAUAAUUAUAAAAUUAAAAUAAAAAUGUUAUGUUUGUAAAGUGUGCAAUCUUUAAGUAUUUAUUUUUUACCUCAUCCCAUUAACAAAUUUUGAAUGAAGAUGAACCAAAUCGAGUAUUUAUUCCAUAAAUAUGCAAAUAAAUUACUACAAAGCAAAUGAUGUAGAAUAAGAUGAGCAGUUAUUGAUUGCAUAUGAAUGGUAAUAAAUCAGGGCCAAGUAAAUCGUUUGACCCAUUUAAUGGGAGGAUUCUCUCCCGAAAAAUAGAUACCGUCGCUUCUAGCAGUCCAAUAGCAAGUAAAAGACGUGCAAUCCAAUCGCGACCUCGAUUUAUAGACAUCCACGCUCACGUAUUUUGAGUUCCAUGUAAAUCCGCAAUGAAACAAAGUUUUGUGGAAAAAGUUUCGCAGAAUUGGAAUUUGUAAUAAUUUUGGCGUAGAGCGUAUGAUUUCCGAGGUCGUCGUCUUUAGAGGCACAAUGCAGCAGCAGUUUACUGNCCAAACAACGCUCAGAUGGAAGCCCCAGAAGGUGCCGGUUGCAAGGCGCCCUCCACGACCUCUUGUUGGAGCAGGCGCGAGAGAUCCGCCUUUUCCACGUUCAUCCUGGAUCCGAUGAUAUGCGUAGGCUCAUCGAAUAUGCUGAUGCCCGCAAUGCUCCGCUUCAGCCUUCCCAAAUUCAACAUGUGAGGUCUUACAUAUCUUUCAACCUACAGAAAAAGGAUACUCCAGCAAAGCAUGUGAGCUCUCUUGUAAGCAACAUGGGCAAAAGGCUGGGCCUGCUGAGGGUUCUUGAUCUUGAGGGAGUGUACAAGCCUAGUUUGCCUGAUAAUCUAGGCGACUUGUUUCAUUUGAGGUACUUGGGAUUGAGGUGGACUUUCUUGGACAAGCUUCCCAAAUCUGUAGGUCAACUCCCUCAUCUCCAAACAUUAGACCUGAAGCAUACAUGCAUAGACAAAAUCCCAACCACUGUUUGGAAACUGAAAAAUCUCCAGCAUCUCAAUCUUGAUGAAGUUCAUCUAGACAAGGAUACGCCUCUGCACUUCCCCGACCUCCUCACACUCUGGGGAUUAUCAGUCAGCCAUGAGGCCCCAAUCACAGAUGGUUUGAGCAAAUUGAAACACCUAAGAGAAUUAGGCAUUUCUUUACGCUUCAUCAAGCGCAGCGACGAUAUUGUCCAAGACAAAGGUCAAGCUACAGAAGCUUUGGUGAAGUGGAUUUCCGAGCUAACAGAUCUUCGAUCAUUGAGGUUGCGAUCCAAAGAUGAUUCUGGGAACCCUUCAAGUCUUAGUUUAAAGCCGUUUUCACGCUUGGGAAAACUCUCUCAUAUGAAGUUACUCGGGAAGUUGCAACAACUCCCUCGCGCGGAUCACUUCCCACCUCAUAUUAAAGUUCUCACAUUAUCAUUGUCUUUUCUGUCCGAAGAUCCCAUGCCGAUCCUUGGACAGCUCCCGGAUUUAACAGUUUUGAGGCUGCUUGCUAACUCAUACCUUGGAGAGAAAAUGCUCUGCUCAGCUGACACUUUUAAGAAUCUUGAGGUUCUAAAACUCUGGGUGCUCGAAGAUCUCAAGGAAUGGGAAGUCGAAGACGGCGCAAUGAAGAAACUCAAAGAGGUCAACAUCAGAAGGUGUUCCAAACUGGAAAACUUCCCAAGCAGCUUGUUGAAGCAGGAAACUUUCCGAGAUUUGAUCUUAAACAACAUGCCCCCUGCAUUCAAGGAAAAAAUUGACAACAAUUAUCAGUUCAAGGUCUCCACCAAAGAUUUCCAACGACAUCUCAGAGCUCAAGAUUAGGAUGAUUGUCGACAACACUACCAGCCCAACCAAGGAAAACGAAGACCCACGUUGCACCAAGCCCACUCGAGUAACCAAACUUCCCACCAAGCUCAAGGAUUACACUUUAUGAUGAAAAAUAUCUAUUGGUCCCCUCCUCCCUCUGAAAGUUGUUGUUAUGGCAGGCUAGCUGUCUUUUGUUUUUAGCUUAACCAAAGGCCUGUGUGCCAUUAAUAUGUCUCUACUCUAGUUUGCUUUCUCAAUCAAUGAAAAUCGAGUAUUUAUUCCAUAAAUAUGCAAAUAAAUUACUACAAAGCAAAUGAUGUAGAAUAAGAUGAGCAGUUAUUGAUUGCA
rnacentral:lncRNA from 1 species